rnacentral:tRNA from 1 species
GCGGGUGUGGCGGAAUUGGCAGACGCACCAGACUUAGGAUCUGGCGCCGCAAGGCGUGGGGGGUUCAAGUCCCUUCACCCGCA